rnacentral:lncRNA from 1 species
GGGACGGGCCUGGCGCCGGAGAGGAGCCCGCACUCUGCCCGAAGUCUCGCCGCCCGCCGGCUGUUUUCUGGCGGAGGGUGCGCCCCGGAGGGCGGCGAGCGCGGGUGGAGGCUGCGGCCAGGCGCGGGUGGAGGCGUCGCCGGGGUCGGGCUAGCAGGCUCUGGGAUCGGGCUUGUGGGACACCCCGAAAAUAAAGACGCAGAGCCUCAGAGAAGUUAAACGAUUGAUCCUAUGUCAGGGGGUAGAGUCAAGACUCAUACCUAUGCCUUUUAACUUCAAGAUUGGACGACUGAUUAUUGGACAGAAUGGCAUCUUGUCGACACCUGCGGUCUCCUGCAUUAUCAGGAAGAUCAAGGCAGCUGGUGGAAUCAUUCUAACAGCCAGCCACUGCCCUGGAGGACCAGGGGGAGAGUUUGGAGUGAAGUUUAAUGUUGCCAAUGGAGAUGGAGUCUCGCUCUGUCACCCAGGCUGGAGUGCAAUGGCAUAAUCUUGUCUCACUGCAACCUCUGCCUCCCACGUUCAAGCCAUUCUCCUGCCUCAGUCUCCCGAGUAGCUGGGAUGACAGUCACCCGCCACCACGCCCAGCUAAUUUUUUGUAUUUUUAGGAGAGAUGGGGUUUCACUAUGUUGUCCAGGCUGGUCUCGAACUCCUGACCUAAUGAUCCGCCCACCUCAGCCUCUCAAAGUGCUGGGAUUACAUGCGUGAGCCAUCGCACCCAGCCUUAAAUUUGUAUUUUAACUUAGCAUGACAUUAGAUAGCAAAUAAAAAUACCAUGACAAG